AAUAGCACCUUUUGAAGUUUAUGUUUCAAAAAUAUCACUAGAAGGAGAAAGUCACAAAAAUGACAUUCAUUAAAGGGUAAAAUAUCUUUAAUACACUUGGUUUAAAAUUAAAUAAACAAACAAAAAUAAAUAAAAAUAAAAAUAAAAAAAAAGAAUUUUUUUUAUAGUUUCAGAUUAUAUGUUUUCAGAUUCGAAAUUUUUAUAAUUUUUUUUUCGAUUUUUUUUUUUUUUUUUUUUUUCAAAUUUUCUU
rnacentral:lncRNA from 1 species